rnacentral:rRNA from 1 species
GAGUUUGAUCUUGGCUCAGGAUGAACGCUAGCGGCAGGCUUAACACAUGCAAGUCGAGGGGUAUAGGUUUUCGGACCUAGAGACCGGCGCACGGGUGCGUAACGCGUAUGCAAUCUGCCUUUUACAGAGGGAUAGCCCAGAGAAAUUUGGAUUAAUACCUCAUAGUAUUAUGAAUCGGCAUCGAUUUAUAAUUAAAGUUCCAACGGUAAAGAUGAGCAUGCGUCCCAUUAGCUAGAUGGUAAGGUAACGGCUUACCAUGGCGACGAUGGGUAGGGGUCCUGAGAGGGAGAUCCCCCACACUGGUACUGAGACACGGACCAGACUCCUACGGGAGGCAGCAGUGAGGAAUAUUGGUCAAUGGGCGCAAGCCUGAACCAGCCAUGCCGCGUGCAGGAUGACGGUCCUAUGGAUUGUAACUGCUUUUGUACAGGAAGAAACACUGGUUCGUGAACCAGCUUGACGGUACUGUAAGAAUAAGGAUCGGCUAACU